rnacentral:rRNA from 1 species
ACUCCUACGGGAGGCAGCAGUGGGGAAUAUUGCACAAUGGGCGCAAGCCUGAUGCAGCCAUGCCGCGUGUGUGAAGAAGGCCUUCGGGUUGUAAAGCACUUUCAGUCGUGAGGAAGGUAGUGUAGUUAAUAGCUGCAUUAUUUGUACGUUAGCGACAGAAGAAGCACCGGCUAACUCCGUGCCAGCAGCCGCGGUAAUACGGAGGGUGCGAGCGUUAAUCGGAAUUACUGGGCGUAAAGCGCAUGCAGGUGGUUUGUUAAGUCAGAUGUGAAAGCCCGGGGCUCAACCUCGGAAUAGCAUUUGAAACUGGCAGACUAGAGUACUGUAGAGGGGGUUAGAAUUUCAGGUGUAGCGGUGAAAUGCGUAGAGAUCUGAAGGAAUACCGGUGGCGAAGGCGGCCCCUGGACAGAUACUGACACUCAGAUGCGAAAGCGUGGGAGCAAACAGGAUUAGAUACCCCUGGUAGACUGUCA